CUACUAGAGAUCUGUUCACAGCACUCCAAGAGCUUAAAGGGGGAACUAGAACAGUGGACCAGAGGAGCCCGGAGUCAAGGAGGCUCUGAGAGGCCAUCAUCUGAAGAAUAAAGAGGCUGUUUCUCUUCAGCACUUUUAAGAAAAAGACAAUGUCUUUGUUUGUUAUUGUUAAAGUUAUUAUUUCACAAGGACAUAGAGCACAGAUAAGAGAUAGGAGUGAAUGAAAAUUUUUAAAAGACAGAAAAAAGAUGAGAAGUUGGAUCUGAUGAGACUAGAAGUAUGCUAAUUUGCCCUGGGCAACCUCUGGAGGCUCAGCUCUUGGAAGAACCAGGUAUUGCAGAAGUUUGGGGAGAAGUAUAAGUAGAGAUAAAAGGAGAAGGAACAUAAGUGGGUGGACUUUCCAAAUCCCCUCAUCUCCACCAGGCAACAAUCCUAUCCUCUUGUCUUUCAGGAACAACUGACUUUCCUCUAGAGGAUUUGAACUGGAGGAGGCUUGAAGUUGAACAAUGGAACUCUCAGUACCAACUUCCCUUUACAGUCUGAUCUCAGAAAUCUGACAGCCAGUUGUAUUCCCCCAGACCCUCUACCUUCACCUGGUACUGAGGUUGUCCCACAUGGCAGUUUCAGGCGCAAUUCUUCUGGAGAUGACAAAGGGCAGGAAGGUGCUUCAGGUACGUGGGGAGGUGCUCUUUGUCGUUCACACCCAUGCACUGAGGAUUUCUCUGCCUGAUACAGAGAGCCUCAUGGAGCCACCAUUGGUAAUAUUCCCUCUUUCAACUACCUGCCACAUGCCAGGCUGUUGCAUUUGCUGCUAUAUACAUGGAAAAAUAAAAUUCUGAUUAUAAUAUAUUAUAAGUAUGAUUAAAAUAGGAUGCAGUGAGAGACAAUAAUGAAGAAGACAUGUGUAUUUGGAAGACUUACUUAGAUCAGGAAGCCUCUCUCAGGAAGUGACCUUUUACUCAAAGCCUGGAGGGAAAAGAUAUCCACAAGCUAUUGACGAUAUCAUAUUUCCAAUAGAGGCAGAGUGUAAAAUGCCAUUAUUGUAACCUAUCGGAGCAGCCUGUUCAGCUGAGCUGUAACAGCCUCUGGGUCUGAAAGUUGCUUUCAUUUUGGUUUCACUCACGAAGACUGUGCUAAAAUCAGAGGGAUGAAAGAAUAAUGUUCCUCCUUAAGUUCCUAACAUGCCUGGCCACUUAGUGGGGUAAAGGAAAUAUCUAUGCUUGUUUGAGGAUCAAAUAAAAAGAUAAUU
rnacentral:lncRNA from 1 species